rnacentral:rRNA from 1 species
AAAAGGUUUGGUCCCAGCCUUAUUAUCAAUUUUUUCUUAAAUUACACAUGCAAGUCUCAGCACACCCGUGAGGAUACCCUUAUACCCUUAACCAGGCUAAGGAGCCGGCAUCAGGCACAACACCACCCACAACGCCUAGUCCUACCACACCCACAAGGGAAUUCAGCAGUGAUAAGUAUUGCCUAUAAGCGACAGCUUGACUCAGUCAAAGAAAGUAGAGCCGGCCAACUCGGUGCCAGCCGCCGCGGCUAAACCGCACGGGCUCAAACUGAUAAUCGUCGGCGUUAAGCGUGAUUAAAGUCCCCCCAACCACUAGAAUAAAACCUACACUUAGCUGUGAAAAGCUUGAUGCUAGAGAAAACCACAAACGAAAGUUAUUCUAGAAAAUACUUGAAUACACGAC